CACUGUCACUCCUACGGGGAGCAGCAGUGGGGAAUAUUGCACAAUGGGCGCAAGCCUGAUGCAGCCAUGCCGCGUGUAUGAAGAAGGCCUUCGGGUGUAAAGUACUUUCAGUCGUGAGGAAGGCGGCGUCGUUAAUAGCGGCGUUGUUUGACGUUAGCGACAGAAGAAGCACCGGCUAACUCCGUGCCAGCAGCCGCGGUAAUACGGAGGGUGCGAGCGUUAAUCGGAAUUACUGGGCGUAAAGCGCAUGCAGGUGGUUUGUUAAGUCAGAUGUGAAAGCCCGGGGCUCAACCUCGGAAUUGCAUUUGAAACUGGCAGACUAGAGUACUGUAGAGGGGGGUAGGAAUUUCAGGUGUAGCGGUGAAAAUGCGUAGAGAUCUGAAGGAAUACCGGUGGCGAAGGCGGCCCCCUGGACAGAUACUGACACUCAGAUGCGAAAGCGUGGGGAGCAAACAGGAUUAGAUACCCUGGUAG
rnacentral:rRNA from 1 species